rnacentral:rRNA from 1 species
GACGAACGCUGGCGGCGUGCUUAACACAUGCAAGUCGAACGGAAAGGCCCUGCUUUUGUGGGGUGCUCGAGUGGCGAACGGGUGAGUAACACGUGAGUAACCUGCCCUUGACUUUGGGAUAACUUCAGGAAACUGGGGCUAAUACCGGAUAGGAGCUCCUGCUGCAUGGUGGGGGUUGGAAAGUUUCGGCGGUUGGGGAUGGACUCGCGGCUUAUCAGCUUGUUGGUGGGGUAGUGGCUUACCAAGGCUUUGACGGGUAGCCGGCCUGAGAGGGUGACCGGCCACAUUGGGACUGAGAGACGGCCCAGACUCCUACGGGAGGCAGCAGUGGGGAAUAUGGCACAGUGGGCGGAAGCCUGAUGCAGCAACGCCGCGUGCGGGAUGACGGCCUUCGGGUUGUAAACCGCUUUCGCCUGUGACGAAGCGUGAGUGACGGUAAUGGGUAAAGAAGCACCGGCUAACUACGUG